AUUUCUUUAAUUCUAUCCCCUUCUAUCCAAAAUCCUAAAAUAAGUGAAUUUAAUGCUAUAUUACAAAUUCACCAGACUAAACAGAUGUGGAUUAUCCCGGCGAGGGAUAAUUUUAAGAGUCGGUCUUAUUCAGUGAAUAUCUACAUCGUAUCUGGGCAGUCGUGGGCACUGGGCUUGAAAAUGACAAUAGUGAAAGUAUCAAUCAUUAAUAAUUAUCACUAAUAUUCAUUGUAACAAUAGGACGUACCUAUAUCAUGCAAUUUUUUGUUCAUUUUGUUAUCAUAAUACAAUAAAAUAACACGUGAUAACGUGCCGUCGCAUGAUAGUGGCGGAAACCGAAGCCUCCGUGAUGCACAGAUAUUAUAUAAAAUCAAUUUAUUUUAUAUACCGGAUGCCGAAAUGGCGUGCUGACCUGAGACGCUCGUAUAUUUAAGACGAGUCUCCAAUUUAGGUAAUCGAUGUGUGCGAUGCAACUCCUCGCAUGAUUAUCUAUGGAACACAAAAGAUACUGUGGAUAAUUAAUGUACGAGAAAUUGCGUUACGCGUGCGCAUAUCGCAAUAUCGCAUACAUAAUUCGGCGACUCGUCGCUGAUAUUGGCAACGUUUUUUUGUACUGAUAUACUACUUCGUGGCUUCCAUAGUGUAUUAAUAUGAUGUAAGUCAAAUACCAACAAUAAAAAUCAACAAAAUAAAAAACAAUUAUAUUUUGAGAUUUUUGUGACAGUACCAAAUACUAAGAAUGAUAUCGUAUAUACCUUGUAUAUGACAGCAUUUAACGCCCAAAUUAAAUUUCAAAAAUAUCUCAUCGCCAUUUGUCAGUCAAAAUAUUCUGAACUGUCACAGUGAAAAUAUAUUUGUCAACGGGUAGUCGUCACGGAUGACCAGAGCAAUGUUUAUGAUAUCGACUAGCUGUCGAUCGUUGUGUUGAACGUUGUUAAAAUCAAUGCUAUUAAUUCGGACGGUGUGUUAGCAACCAUGAAUAGACGCUGUGAAGUAGAAACAGAAAGAUAUGAUGGCAAAGAGAAACAGCUAUGUAAUUCCAGGACAAUCCCAACAGUAGAAAUCAAGGAAAUAACCUAUCGAGCAGCAUCAAUCAACAAAUGGCAAAAAGAAACAGCUGUAUAAUUCCAGGACAAUCCCGACAGCAAAAAUCAUGGAAAUAACAUUUCGAGCAGCUCCAAUCAAUAAGUACACAGUCAUGCUAGAAGGAAACCCUACAGUGGAAAACAGGAUUGUGGCAAUAAACAGAAUAUUAUUUUCUUUUUUUGAUAUAGAUCACGCCCAACGUUUUUAAAAUCUACAUAUUAUUUAAGAAUAUCAAACCAUGUAGCAAUAUCGUAGUAUACUCGGAGUCUCGAUAAAUAUCAGCACCACUGACAAUGUGGCCCAGCAACUACUGGCUCAGUAACAACUACAUCUGUAACAGAACAAACUGUAAAUUGUGAACUUUCCACACAAGCUUUGAUCAGUAAAAAUAAGUGAUCAAAAAAUUGUAUUAACAAUUAGUGGCUUGACUGUUUUUUAAUUAACAUUACUAACAUACAUAAUAUGAUCAGCUAUAAAAUUAACUAUAUGGACCUUUUUUAACACAAAUUAAUCAUAAACCGUUUUAGAUGGCAUAAAAGAAAUAGCUGUGUAAUUCCAGGUCAAUCCUAACAGCAGAAAUCAAGGAGCCAUACUACAAGGAAACAUAACACAGUGAAAAUAGGAUUGUGGCCUAACGUGUUUAAUACCUACAUAUUAUUGAAGAAUAUCAGACCAUAUAGCAAUAUUGUGGUAUACUUGGUGUAUUCCUGUGAACGCGGUCACAGGAUCACAAGAUCACAAGAUCAGUAGUUAAAAAAAUGAAAACCACUGAAUUAUGAAUCAAACUUGGGUGUCCAAUGACGUUUUUGAAUUGUGGCGACGCCGCCGAGGAGCCAAUACUACCAACUACCACAACCAUUUGCAGUAACCACUGACGCCGUCGUCACAGACUGUACUCCCCACCAUGUAACGGAUAGCAGCUCGUAACCCCGCACGACGCCCGACUGUUUGACGGCUAACGCUUUGUUCUGCCUUUUGUAUAUCGUCGACGUCGUCGAAUCGGUCGCCGGUCGGCCAUUUUAUAGUGAUCUGCUUUGCUACGUUGUUAGUUUGUUGACUCCUCAACUUUGUUAGGCGGGAUGGGAAGACAAAUCGCAGUAUACGAAUACCAGCCGCCAGCGUUCAUAUCUCUAUUAUGCGACUCGCUAGUGUAAAAAGAUGAGUGCUAUGACUAUCCAUCGAACAACAUCAACCAAGAACAUGUCAACGUCCAUACCAUGUUGAAUACAACAGUUCUCGUCCAAUCACCGAAAUUAAGCGAUCAUGCCAUCGUUUCCAUCAUUGGCAUCUAACAAGCAUCACAUAUGUCGAUAAUUCAUCCUCGAGACCGGUCAAUCACUACCCACCAAGUCUGCGUUAAGGUAUAUUCAUCUUCAUCUGAAUUAUAAUAGAAGCAUUGAAAAUGGCUGCCAUCAUUUGUUUUUUGUAUUCUGGAUAAGGAAAUUUCAAGUUGGUAAGUGUUAUAAAAAAAUUAUAGGUGUUUUCAAAAACAUCUGAUGUAAAUUAUAGCAUGCUUAUUAAAACAAUUGUAUAACAUUUGUAGGAUUUUAAAUAAAGGAAAUCUUAACUUUUUA